GACGAACGCUGGCGGCGUGCUUAACACAUGCAAGUCGAACGGAAAGGCCCUGCUUGCAGGGUACUCGAGUGGCGAACGGGUGAGUAACACGUGGGUGAUCUGCCCUGCACUUCGGGAUAAGCCUGGGAAACUGGGUCUAAUACCGGAUAGGAGCCAUUUUUAGUGUGAUGGUUGGAAAGUUUUUUCGGUGUAGGAUGAGCUCGCGGCCUAUCAGCUUGUUGGUGGGGUAAUGGCCUACCAAGGCGGCGACGGGUAGCCGGCCUGAGAGGGUGGACGGCCACAUUGGGACUGAGAUACGGCCCAGACUCCUACGGGAGGCAGCAGUGGGGAAUAUUGCACAAUGGGCGCAAGCCUGAUGCAGCGACGCCGCGUGGGGGAUGACGGACUUCGGGUUGUAAACUCCUUUCGCUAGGGACGAAGCUUUUUGUGACGGUACCUAGAUAAGAAGCACCGGCUAACUACGUG
rnacentral:rRNA from 1 species